rfam:Clostridiales bacterium CHKCI001 isolate CHKC1 genome assembly, contig: {contig38}
ACUAAAAUUUGGUAGGUGAGGCUACCGCAGGGAUAUGGGUUGCUGCCGCGAAGUAGUGGAGACACUAUAAGAAGGUUAGCAGGAAGUGUCGUUUAAGGCAUUUUCUAAUGCAAUUUCACGCCCUGUGAUGCUAAAGCUUGAACAAAUGUGAGG